AGCAGUCGCCACGGUAAUACGUAGGUGGCAAGCGUUGUCCGGAAUUAUUGGGCGUAGAGGGCUCGCAGGCGGUUUCUUAAGUCUGAUGUGAAAGCCCCCGGCUCAACCGGGGAGGGUCAUUGGAAACCGGGAAACUUGAGUGCAGAAGAGGAGAGUGGAAUUCCACGUGUAGCGGUGAAAUGCGUAGAGAUGUGGAGGAACACCAGUGGCGAAGGCGACUCUCUGGUCUGUAACUGACGCUGAGGCGCGAAAGCGUGGGGAGCAAACAGGAUUAGAUACCCCCGUAGUCCCUGUCUCUUAUAC
rnacentral:rRNA from 1 species